rnacentral:rRNA from 1 species
UAUCACUAAGCGGCGGAAAAGAAACUAACCAGGAUUCCUCCAGUAACGGCGAGUGAACGGGGAAUAGCCCAGCACCGAAGCCUGCGCCCGUUUGGGUGUAAGGCACUGUGGUGUUUAGGUGGUUGCAUGUUGGCACCUCGAUUACCCCAAGUCCAGUAAUGAAUAUGGCUCUUAACGGCCCAGAGAGGGUGAAAGGCCCGUGGGGGUAGUGUGUUUUAUGAGGUGAGGACUGCGGCUACCUUGGAGUCGGGUUGUUUGUGAUUGCAGCCCAAAGUGGGUGGUAGACUCCAUCUAAGGCUAAAUACUGGCACGAGUCCGAUAGCGAACAAGUACCGUGAGGGAAAGUUGAAAAGAACUCUGAAGAGAGAGUAAACAGUACGUGAAACCGCUUAGAGGUAAACGGGUGUAGUCAAGCUGCAAGCCCUUGGGGAUUCAGCCAGUCAGUAUGACGUGUGCAUGGCACAUUUGUUGGCCUGUAGCACUUCACCUCAACUGGUGGGCCCGGUUCUCCCAUGAAUCGGGUGCCUGAGUGACACAUUGUCAUUGGGUGGUCUACAGGACCGGCUGCUGACUGGUGCAUUUCCUCAGGGUGUAAGCCACGACCGCCGUUGCUGUCGGUCUGCUGGGGCCAACCUACCUAAUCGGACUUCUUGUUUGGUUAGGUGGGGAUGGCAGGUAGCUUGGCAGAUAAAGGGUAUCUAUCUUUUGUCUGUUGAGUGCUUUAUAGCCGGUCCCAGUGGCUAUUAAAACUGUGCAGUACGGUGGAGCUAACGACGUGAUGACUACGGUUUGUGCUCUAUAGUCUGCCGGCGUGAUGUAAGUCUGGCUGUCUGUAGCUUACUCAAAACGGCCUGAUGGUGGCUUGCUCACGGUGUUGUGAACGGAGGCACAGAUCAGUUAAUUGUCGUUUUCCUACUUGGGCUUUAUUGUCUGGGAAAGAUAACGGCUAUCUUUUUGUCGUCAAUAGUCUGUGGCGUAGUGGUAGACGAUCCACCCGACCCGUCUUGAAACACGGACCAAGGAGUUUAACAUGUGCGCGAGUCAAUGGGUGUGGAUAUCACAAUGCACUAAACCCAAAGGCGAAGUUAAAGUGAAGGUCUUGUCUACAGACUGCAAAGUCUGGAGGCCCGACUGAGGUGAGAUCCCAUCGGAUCCUGAGCAGACCUGGUCAUGCUAUAGACCGGUGGGCGCAUCACCGGCCCGUCCCAUGGUGUAUUUCACCGGGGCGGAGCAAGAGCGUACAUGUUGAGACCCGAAAGAUGGUGAACUAUGCUUGCGCAGGUUGAAGCCGGAGGAAACUCUGGUGGAGGACCGUAGCGAUUCUGACGUGCAAAUCGAUCGUAUGACGUGAGUAUAGGGGCGAAAGACUAAUCGAACCAUCUAGUAGCUGGUUCCCU